rnacentral:rRNA from 1 species
CCCUUAGAUGUUCUGGGCUGCACGCGCGCUACACUGAUGCGCUCAACGAGUUUAUGACCUUGCCCGGAAGGGUUGGGUAAUCUUCUUAAAACGCAUCGUGAUGGGGAUAGAUUAUUGCAAUUAUUAAUCUUCAACGAGGAAUUCCUAGUAAGCGCGAGUCAUCAGCUCGUGCUGAUUACGUCCCUGCCCUUUGUACACACCGCCCGUCGCUCCUACCGAUUGAGUGGUCCGGUGAGGCUUUGGGAUCUGAGCGGAAAGAGCGUUUCGCUGUUUCUGCCCGGAAAACUCAGUCGAACCUUAUCAUUUAGAGGAAGGAGAAGUCGUAACA